GGUCCUAUCCAGCAACACAGAGGGAUUCAGAAGGUCUCAUGACAAACAACUAUCUCUACUUUAUUCCCUAACCAAUUCCUUUUGUCUGAGGAUGCUUCACGUUGUGUGAUUUGCAGGUGGCCCGUUCUGUGCUGUAGAGUGAAGAAGGUGUGUGUCAGCUCUGAAGAGGUCACCGGCUCCGGUCCGAUUGGGUUUCUGGCAGAUAAAGACCACACCUCUCUGUACAUGGGGGUGCCGGUGAACAGCCCGGUGCCACAUUCCUCUCUGGAUGAAGCACUGUCGUUCUGGGCUAGCCUGUCUCCCCCUGGGCUCUCCAACACGGCCGAGCAUCUGACUUCCAUCCUGCAGCCGUACAGCAGCACGAGCUCUGCUGCCCUGCCGGGUGUGUGCAGUCUCCUGCUGUCAGGCCCCAGGGGGAGCGGGAAAACCACAGUGCUCAGAGUGGCCUGUCGUAGGUUACACCAGCACCUGGUACAGGUAACAUUCCACACACACUAUGCACCUGGUACAGGUAACAUUCCACACACACUAUGCACCUGGUACAGGUAACAU